AGAAUCAUUCACAAUGGGGGAAACCCUGAUGCAGCGACGCCGCGUGAGUGAAGAAGUAUUUCGGUAUGUAAAGCUCUAUCAGCAGGAAAGAAAAUGACGGUACCUGACUAAGAAGCCUCGUCUAACUAUGUGCCAGCAGCCGCGGUAAUACGUAGGGGGCAAGCGUUAUCCGGAUUUACUGGGUGUAAAGGGAGCGUAGACGGUGAAGCAAGUCUGAAGUGAAAGGCGGGGGCUCAACCCCCGGACUGCUUUGGAAACUGUUUGACUGGAGUGCAGGAGAGGUAAGUGGAAUUCCUAGUGUAGCGGUGAAAUGCGUAGAUAUUAGGAGGAACACCAGUGGCGAAGGCGGCUUACUGGACUGUAACUGACGUUGAGGCUCGAAAGCGUGGGGAGCAAACA
rnacentral:rRNA from 1 species